UACUUUCUGUGAUGUUCGCUUUGAUCUUUGAAACACAAACUCGACCUUUUCAUUUAUGGGGUUUUAAUAUUUCUCGGGACCGUGGUCUUGAGGUGCAAAAUCCCACCUGUUUACCAGGAUUUUGUGUUCUAUUGGGUCGGCGGCAUCGUGGAAAGACC
rnacentral:other from 1 species